rnacentral:rRNA from 1 species
UUUGGCUGCACACCUCCUUCUAGAUGCAGAAAGCUCCAGAGUUGGAGCCUGGUGACGGUGGGACACAUGCUACUAGACUCCCAAUAAUGCACUAUACGUGAGGCCGAUAUCAAUGCACGUGGAGCGUGCGGAGUACAUGGCCCAAAUCGCCCUUUCGCGAGUCGUAUUACAAUUCAUUGGCCGAAGUGUUUACACCCGCGUUGGAUUAGGUAGUUGUUGGGGUAAUGGCCUACCAAGCCGACGAUCCAUAGCUGGUUUGAGAGGAUGAUCAGCCACACUGGGACUGAGACACGGCCCAGACUCCUACGGGAGGCAGCAGUGGGGAAUCUUAGACAAUGGGGGAAACCCUGAUCUAGCCAUGCCGCGUGAGUGACGAAGGCCCUAGGGUCGUAAAGCUCUUUCGCCAGGGAAGAUAAUGACGGUACCUGGUAAAGAAGUCCCGGCUAACUCCGUGCCAGCAGCCGCGGUAAUACGGAGGGGACUAGCGUUGUUCGGAAUUACUGGGCGUAAAGCGCACGUAGGCGGACCAUUAAGUCAGGGGUGAAAUCCUGGGCUUAACCCCAGAACUGCUUUGAUCUGC